UCCCUGGUGGUCCAGUGGCUAAGACUUUGUCUUCUCAGAGCAGGGGGCCUGGGUUCGAUCCCUAGUUGGGGAA
rnacentral:tRNA from 1 species